AUGGAACAUUGGCUGUGGAUUCUUCUUGCUGCUCUUUUCUUUGAGUGUAAAGGAGAAGACAAAGUGAUCCAACCAGGAGGAGAAGUCAUUGCUGCUGAAGGAGACUCUGUCACCCUCAACUGUACCUUUGAGACCAGUGACACAUUCCCAAGAUUGUUUUGGUACAAACAAGAAGUGAACAGUUACCCAGAGUACAUGAUGAAACAUUACUUAUCCACCAAAGAAAAUGCUCCAGACUUCAAGAAAGACAGAUUUAAUGCUGAACUCAAAUAUGAAUUAGUUCCUCUGAAGAUCUGGAAGCUUCAUGUUUCAGACUCUGCUGUGUACUACUGUGCUCUUCAGCCCACAGUGACAGGAAACAGCAAAACUCUGUACAAAAACCUGCAGACAACUCAGUAUCCUUACAAACCACCAGAGGACUCUAUAUUUUAA